CCUGGUGGCUUAGACGGUAAAGCAUCUGCCUGCAAUGUGGGAGACCUGGGUUUGAUUCCUGGGUCAGGA
rnacentral:tRNA from 1 species